GAAAGGCUGUAUGAACAUACAGCUGGGUGUCAUGCACUUGACGCCCCAGUUAGA
rnacentral:ncRNA from 1 species